AUGGGAGAGUUUAAUAGAACACAGAGAUGGUGAAUUAAAACAAACUACAAUCUGUGAGGUUGGGAAGUGCUUCUCGCUUCUCCACUGGCUCAUCAGCAGCUCUGGAUCCCCUUGCCAUCACUCUCCAGGUAAUUAAAGUGUUGAACUCAUUACCACCAGAUGCUGGGGGAGCUAACAGUCUAUCCAGAUUGAAAAAGAGAUUGGAAAAAUUCUUGCAGGAAAGGGGCAUUGAUAGCUGUUGGCAUGGGAGUUAGGAAUAUAGACUCUGAAUCAGAACUCCCUAGACCCUAAAUGCUGGAGGCUGCAAGUGGAAGAGGAAGCAUGGAAAAAACCUUGGUCAUACCCUGCUUACUCGCUCUUUCAGCAUCCACUCUCUGCCACUGUGAAUACUAGGAAAGAUGAACCUAUUGUCUGGUCCAGAAAAUGGUAGUUCUUAUGUGCUUAUAAUUCCAGAUAAAUGCUUUUCAGACUUCUAUAGGUUGCUUUGUAUUGUUUCUCUGUUCAUAUUGGGUUUUAUGCCACACACAUAUUGGGAUUUUUUCCCCACACAGAAAUGUCAUGAAUUCAAACUUAUUUUCAGCUCAAUAAACUUGUUUUAAAACACUAAUCCAUAUGCCCUCCCAUCUGCACAUGCCUCAGAAAAUGCUGGUUAUUGUUA